rnacentral:lncRNA from 1 species
GACAUAUGCAGCAUGACCAGUGGAAGCUUCGAAGAGCUAUUGCCAAUUUCCACCCUCUCUCUGGAAACUGUCAUUAGGGUUAGGGAAACUGUCAUGAGAUCUGCAUAUUUUAGAUAGAGGCUGCUUGCCUUAUUUGGGCACCUAAUGAAAAAGACAUGGAGGCCAGGUGCGGUGGCUCAUGUCUGUAAUCCCAGCACUUUGGGAGGCCAAGGCGAGUGGAUCACCUGAGGUCAGGAGUUCGAGACCAGCCUGACCAACAUGGCAAAACCCCGUCUGUACUAAAAGUGCAAACACAAAGGGAACUGCGUGGCUUGUUUCUACCUGAACAUUGUCAAGUGAUUUCAUCCUUUGAAACACAGUUGUGAAGUGUGUCCAGCAGUCUGAGAACAAGAAGAAGAAGAAAAUCUAAUCCUUCAGGGUGUCUGUGUGCCAGCCCUGCUCUCAGCACUUCCCAUGUGGAACUCCUUUACUUCUCCUAACAACUCCAUGACAUGGGUUAGACUGUGAUUGUUCCCAUAUUGUUGGUAGGGAAACUGAGGCAUGCAGGUGUUACAGAGCUCUCUCAAGUGGCAAGCUUUCUGGGUGGUUACAGAGUGGCAGAGCUGGGGUAUCCCAUGAUGUCACCACACUGCUAUAUGGAAAAGAACAUUAAUCGAGCACCUACGUGCUUGAUUCUCUUAAUUCUGUGACUGAACUCUCAAAACACCCUGGAGCACUGCGUGUUUUGAAAUAUACAAAUAGUGGGAAACGAAAUCUUUGUUCUGGAUGCAGUUAUAAUUUGGAAAGCGAGGAAAUAAAUUAUAACAAGGGGAAAAAACAGACACAGAGGGAUUGAAAUGCAUAACAAUAGAGAUGAAACACGAAGAGUGAUAAAUGAAGAUUGAGUGUGCACACCUUCUGGAGGAGCCCUGAUUGAGUAUUUUAACACAGAAGUGGGUGAGAGCAAAGUUGUGUCAGAGUAAGACAAUGACACCAAGCCAGAUGGUUAUCAAAAUCCACAGGAACAAAUGAAGAGAACCAGAAAUUGCAAAUAAGAAGGACAGAGUACCAGAGAGGAGAGAGAGGUACAGAGAAUUAUGGAGGUGGCUUCCGUUGAGUAUGCAGCUAAGUAAUGAUUAAUGCAUACAUAUAAGAAACUACUGGAUGACAGAGAAAGAACCACAAGCAAUUUAAAGAAUACUACUAAAGUCAUGCCGUGUGACUUCUGAAGCUAGCUCCUAAGAAGUCCUUGCAGCUUCUGCCUGCGACUCUUAGAACACUUGCUUUGAAGGAUGCCAGAUGCUGUCUUAAAAGUCUGAGCACUCUGAAACCAUCAUGCUGUGAGGAAGCCCAAGCUAACCACAUGGGCAAAAAAGAUGCCCUCUGACUGCCACCAUUUGAGACACUCUAAUUAAGAACUGCCUCAUUGAGCCCAUGAGGCCCUGUGAAUGAUAAUAAUAAAUUGUUUUUAACCACUAUGUUUUUGGAUUUGUUAUAAGUUUAUAGAUAACAAGAAAAAGUUAUAUUAGCAUGGUAAUAAAAUUAUGGAUAUGUGUAA